rnacentral:rRNA from 1 species
GAUGAACGCUGGCGGCGUGCCUAACACAUGCAAGUCGAACGAAAUUCUAAGUAUUUAUUUACUACAGCUGAGAGGCAGGCAUACAGCUUUUUUCUGUGACUUAAAGAAGUCCGGAGCAAAAAAGUUCGUAUGCCUGACAACUCAGCUUAAGUAAACAACAGAGUUAGUGGCGGACGGGUGAGUAACACGUUAGUACCUACCCUCUAGUGGGGGAUAACUGCCCGAAAGACCGGGACAAC